rnacentral:rRNA from 1 species
AUUGAACGCUGGCGGCAGGCCUAACACAUGCAAGUCGAACGAGUGGCGGACGGGCGAGUAAUGUCUGGGCACCUGCCUGAUGGACGGGGAUAACUACUGGAAACGGUAGCUACUACCGCAUACCACCGGAUCUGCCCUGAUGGGUUUAGCUAGUGGGUGGGGUAAAGGCUCACCUAGGCGACGAGCCCUAGCUGGUCUGAGAGGCUGACCGGCCACACUGGAACUGAGACACGGUCCAGACUCCUACGGGAGGCAGCAGUGGGGAAUAUUGCGCAAUGGGCGAAAGCCUGAUGCAGCCAUGCCGCGUGUGUGAAGAAGGCCUUCGGGUUGUAAAGUACUUUCAGCGGGGAAGCGGUACCCGCAGAGGAAGCACCGGCUAACUCCGUGCCAGCAGCCGCGGUAAUUC